rnacentral:rRNA from 1 species
AUGCGGCAAGGCGGAGAAGGAGUGCGGAGGAAGGGCGGCUUCGGGCUCGUGGCGGACCGGAUCCAGCGAGGGGGAGGCCGGAUCCGUCGGCUAGCGACGCGAGGAGCUCACGGCGGAGCUCGAGCGCCAUGGGAGUUAAGUAGGAAAAGGAGAGAGCGGCGGUGUCGCGGGUACAUGCGCACACUCGCGGACGCAGGCAAACGGCUCCGGCAGGAGACGUGGCGCACGACAGCGACAACGGCUCUCCUCAGGAGGACCUUGGGCAUUGAGAGGUUGAGCUGUGCGCUGCACCAAGGACAGAGCCCACUGACUGCUCGUCAUGGGCCACCGCCACCACGCCUUCGACGGGAUCGGACCUCCACCACUCCAGCAAGCAGGAGCAUCGUGGUGGUUGCGGUUUGUACUGUUAAUUAA